AUGGCGGUCGUUAUGUGGCAUAUUUGGGAGACCAAGAACAACUAUCGCAAUGGUGAGGUACUAGUUAAUCCACUUCGCAUGGUGGGGAAAAUUAAGGCUUAUAUUGAAUUCGUAACUUUGUAUAAUGUCAGACCACUAGGUUCCAAUAGGCUUGAGACGUCUACAUCAAGCCCAAAAAGGUAUCCGCCGCCGGAAGGUUGGCUGCGGAUCAAUGUGGAUGCUGCGAUUUUCUCCCACUCAAAACAUGCGGGCUAUGGAGUUGUAGUGCGAGACCAUUGAGGGACACUUUUGGAUGCAUAUCAAGGCUCUUAUAUUGAUCAAAUUCAAAACCCAGAAGUGGCCGAAGCUAUUGCUAUUCGUCAAACCCUCAUCAAUGCUGAAGAUGCUGGUUUUCAUAAGAUUCUGGUGGUCUCCGACUGCUUGUCGUUGAUGAACAAGGUACGAGAUGUAAGUUUCAACUGGUCCCCUUCAGGUGCCAUAGUCCAUGAUAUUAAAAGUAGAGCCACAAAGUUCUUAUCUUGUGAAUUUAUCCAUGUCAAUCAUUGUUGUAAUGAGGCAGCUCAUGUACUAGCAAAAUCUGCAGAAUUUGAUGUUGGGUCCUGUUGGUCUAGUGAGCCACCUGAUGAAAUCAGGGCCAUUAUUUGUAAUGAACAUGUUUCUAAGUGGAUGAAUGUAAGGGUGCUGCUCAUUAUUUUAAAAAAAGUACCCAUCUCAUUACUUAAAAAAAGUACCCAGGCCGGGGCCGGGCGUUUUGGCUCCUGGGUCAGAUGA
rnacentral:rRNA from 1 species